GAUAAACGCUAGCGGCAGGCUUAACACAUGCAAGUCGAGGGGCAGCAUAGAUUGUAGCAAUACAAUUGGUGGCGACCGGCGCACGGGUGCGUAACGCGUAUGCAACCUACCCGUCACAGGGGGAUAAUCCGGAGAAAUCUGGUCUAAUACCCCAUAACAUAUGGAUCGGCAUCGGUUCAUGUUGAAAUUUUCGGAGGUGACGGAUGGGCAUGCGUAGCAUUAGCUUGUUGGUGAGGUAACGGCUCACCAAGGCGACGAUGCUUAGGGGGACUGAGAGGUUUUCCCCCCACACUGGAACUGAGACACGGACCAGACUCCUACGGGAGGCAGCAGUGAGGAAUAUUGGUCAAUGGGCGCAAGCCUGAACCAGCCAUGCCGCGUGCAGGAUGACGGCUCUAUGAGUUGUAAACUGCUUUUGUGCGAGGGUAAAGUGGGUUACGUGUAACCUUUUGGAAGUAUCGUACGAAUAAGGAUCGGCUUACUCCGUGCCAGCCGCCGCGGUAA
rnacentral:rRNA from 1 species